rnacentral:rRNA from 13 species
CCGUGGAGAGAUCACUAGUGAGAAUGAUGACAUGAGUAGCGACAAACAGGGUGAGAGACCCUGUCGCCGAAAGUCCAAGGGUUCCUGCUUAAAGCUAAUCUGAGCAGGGUAAGCCGACCCCUAAGGCGAGGCAGAAAUGCGUAGUCGAUGGGAACCAGGUUAAUAUUCCUGGGCCGUGAGGUGGUGACGGAUCUCGGGUGUAGUUCAUUCUUACUGGAUUGAAUGGGCUGCUGAGAGGUUCCUGGAAAUAGCCCCUCUAUAAGACCGUACCCUAAACCGACACAGGUGGACAGGUAGAGUAUACCAAGGCGCUUGAGAGAAGUAUCCUGAAGGAACUCGGCAAAUUGCCUCCGUACCUUCGGAAGAAGGAGGCCCCAUCUAUGCGCAAGCACUGGUGGGGGGCACAGGCCAGGGGGUAGCGACUGUUUAUCAAAAACAUAGGUCUAUGCGAACACGUAAGUGGAUGUAUAUGGACUGACGCCUGCCCGGUGCUCGAAGGUUAAAAGGAGGGGUUAUCGAUUCGUCGAGAAGCUCUGAAUUGAAGCCCGAGUAAACGGCGGCCGUAACAAUAACGGUCCUAAGGUAGCGA